AAGGAUGUUCCGGUAAAUAACAAAUACAAAAAUACAAAUGGCCAAACCCGCGGUUCUUAUUGGCCAGCCUUGAUUCUGUACUUGCCACCCACUUCACUUUAUCACUAUUUCAGAUUUCAUGCACCAAGUGUUUGUCUCUCAUUGGUCCGAAUCACUUAUUUCAUUAUCCCUACCCUUAUGUAUCUUUUCUGAUUCUAAAAAGCUGACUACAGUCAACACAGCCAAACACAUCACAAAUGGGUUCGGGAAGCAUAUGUUAUUCUGCAAAUCCCAGCGAUUACAAGAUUCUAGAGGAAUUAUUUUCAGAUCUGGAAAUAUAUGGUGCCUCCAACAUGGAAUGCAUUCUGCAGGUAAGGUUUUUCUCUCCAUAUUCGUAGAGAACUGCUGGUUGUUAACAAAAUUGGAACUGAGAUAUACUCAUAAUUUUCAGCUCUGAUUUUUUACUCUUCUAAUUUUCAGUUCUGAUUUAGGUAUUUUUCUGCAAAAUUAAUACGAGUUUAUGAAGUCUGGUUUUGUCGGUUUUGCGAGGUUUUUUGUUCUGUUUUUGUGUUGCUUUCUUUAGUUAAUUUUUGCUUAGGUUAUGAAGUCGAUUCAACUAUGAAAUUCAGCAUCACCAACAACACCCCGUAGUUGGACAGCUUCAUGACGACGUAGAUUUCGAUACUAUAGGCACCUUUUUAAGAAGCUAUGGGAACUGGGAAGGAUAUAAUUAACAUUUAUCAUUGUCUGUUGCCAUCAUUUAGAGGAUUUUGAUGGAGGUGUGAAAUUAAUUGGUGCAACACCAGCUCUUUGUUCUCAUCCUUCCCUAUACCUUCGAUUUUUAUGGCUCAACGAUGCACUCGGAGUUGAAUCGGUAAGAAUGUCGGAUGUAAACAGAUUCCGGCUUGCUGCGUCUGUUUAAGAUACCACAGACGAAGGAGCUGCGGUUUCAUCUCCGAAUAGCGUGGUUUCAUCUUUUCAGAGUAUAUCCAAGAACGAGUUCUGCAAAGCUUCCGUUGACAUUUGUGCUACCAUGCAUUUUAAGAUAAUAUUUUGUAUAUACUCUACAUGAGAAAAUUCUGAUAAGUUUUAUUUGGUAAUUAUUUAUCCUUUGAGAUAUAUAAAUACAAAAUGAUUAUAUCAUACAUUGAUAAGGGAAAAUUAAUUUUUUUUACCCAUUUUUCA